rnacentral:rRNA from 1 species
GGGCGAGAAAAGCUGAUGGCGGAGUUUAUAGAUGUCCGUACCGGAAACCGACACAGGUGGGUGAGGCGAGCAGCCUCAGGUGAACGAGUGAAACGUGGUCAAGGAACUCGGCAUAAUGAUCCCGUAACUUCGGAAGAAGGGAUGCCAGAGAGGGUGUAGGGUACACCGAAGCUCUCCCUGGUCGCAGCGAAUCGGCCCAAGCGACUGUUUAGCAAAAACACAGGUGUGUGCCAAGCCGCACAAGGCGCCGUAUACACACUGACGCCUGCCCGGUGCCGGAAGGUUAAGGGGAGAGGUUAGCCGCAAGGCGAAGCUUUGAGCCGAAGCCCCGGUAAACGGCGGCCGUAACAAUAACGGUCCUAAGGUAGCGAAAUUCCUUGUCGGGUAAGUUCCGACCUGCACGAAUGGCGUAACGGCUUGGGCACUGUCUCGACCACGUGCUCGGCGAAAUGGCAGUCUCGGUGAGGAUUCCGAGUCCCCGCGACAGGACAAAAAGACCCCAUGCACCUUUACUGUAGCUUGUCAUUGGUCGUUGCACAUCGCUGUGUAGCAUAGGUGGGAGGCGUUGAUCCGUGGGCGCUAGCUUACGGGGAGCCAUCAGUGAAAUACCACCCUGCGUCGUGCGACGCCCUCACCACGGCGGGAACACCCCGUCUGGGACCGUGGCAGGUGGGCAGUUUGACUGGGGCGGUCGCCUCCGAAACAGUAACGGAGGCGCGCGCAAGGUUGGCUCAGCGCGGACGGUACUCGCGCUUCUAGAGUGUAACGGCAGAAGCCAGCCUGACGGUGAGAUCGACGGAUCGAGCCGCCACGAAAGUGGGCCGUAGUGAUCCGGUAGCCCGGGGUGGAGCGGCUAUCGCGCAACGGAUAAAAGGUACGCUGGGGAUAACAGGCUUAUCGCGCCCGAGAGUUCACAUCGACGGCGCGGUUUGGCACCUCGAUGUCGGCUUAUCACAUCCUGGGGCUGGAGAAGGUCCCAAGGGUCCGGCUGUUCGCCGGUUAAAGUGGUACAUGAGCUGGGUUCAGAACGUCGUGAGACAGUUCGGUCUGUAUCCGUCGUGGGCGUUGGAGAGUUGAGGGGAGCGGACUCUAGUACGAGAGGACCGAGUCGGACGACCCGCUCGUGUCCCGGUUGUCCUGCCAAGGGCACCGCCGGGUAGCGAUGGUCGGCUGUGAUAACCGCUGAAAGCAUCUAAGUGGGAAGCACGCCCCAAGAUAAACUCUCCCGAGGCCUUGAGCCUCUUGAAGGGCCGGGGAAGACCACCCCGUCGAUAGGCCGCCCGUGGACGUCCCGCAAGGGAUUCCAAGCGCAGCGGUCCUAAUCGCCCGUAUGGCUU